rnacentral:rRNA from 1 species
UGAGGAAUAUUGGUCAAUGGGCGCAAGCCUGAACCAGCCAUCCCGCGUGCAGGGAGACGGCGCUAUGCGUUGUAAACUGCUUUUCCAGGGAGAGAAACUUGCGCACGUGUUGCGCAAUUGACGGUACCCUGGGAAUAAGCAUCGGCUAACUCCGUGCCAGCAGCCGCGGUAAUACGGAGGAUGCGAGCGUUAUCCGGAUUCAUUGGGUUUAAAGGGUGCGUAGGCGGACUAUUAAGUCAGUGGUGAAAUCCUGCAGCUUAACUGCAGAACUGCCAUUGAUACUGAUAGCCUUGAGUUUGGUUAAGGUAGGCGGAAUGUGUAGUGUAGCGGUGAAAUGCUUAGAUAUUACACAGAACACCAAUUGCGGAGGCAGCUUACUGAGCCGACACUGACGCUGAGGCACGAAAGCGUGGGGAUCGAACAG